AAAUAUAUAUAUGACGAAGGAGAAAUCUCCGUGGUGUUUUGAAAAAGUGUGACGUCAUCAUUGCUGACGUCACAGUUGUUGUUCUCACGAUGGUCACCCAUUUUGGGACUUAGAAAAACUCCACGAGCACUGUAUACUUAGUUUAUUCAACUCCCAGAGAGGUCCGUACUGUACGGCGAUCGGAGUGCAACUGCCUUGAUUGCCUACAGUGCGGGCGUAAUUAUAGGACUCGGCGCACGGGCACGUGCUUACAAGUUUUAGGUUAAGUAUUGAAAUUACAAUGAUAACGUUAAUUUUACAUCGUGUUAAACUUAAAAUAAUCAACUGAUGAUUAAUAAACUGAUUUUUAGGACAAUCAAGUGAAUUAACCAAACUUAUUCUACUUUCUCUGAUUAGUUGAUGUGGUUGCGCCGACACGGCCAUACUGACAGGCGGUGCGCGCUCUGCACCAGCCUCGUUGAUUUUUUUGUUGAUUCUCGUAGGUUCUCGGUGAUUCUCGUAGGUUCUCGGUGCUUCUUGUAGGUUCUCGGUGAUUCUCGUAGGUUCUCGGUGAUUCUCGUUGGUUUUGUUAUGUUGUGAUGUGAUUACCUGUAGGCAAAGAAAGUGUUUUCUCUGAGAAGGAUUUCUGUUCAUUAUAAAUUAGUUGUUAUUCUCGGAGGGUCUCGUAGAGUUCUCGGAGGGUCUCGUAGAGUUCUCGGAGGGUCUCGUAGAUUUCUCGGAGGGUCUCGUAGAUUUCUCGGAGGGUCUCGUAGAUUUCUCGGAGGGUCUCGUAGAGUUCUCGGAGUUUAAUUUAGAAUUUUUGAAAUUUGAAAAGAGUAAUUAACCAUGCAAUACUUAUCUGUUUAUUCUGGUGGCUUGUUUUCACUCUCCAGGUCGUGGUUUUGAUGUACUUGCGGCUGUUGAUUCGUUCCAGUUGAUCAGGUGGAAGAGCUGAUGAUGAAGCGGCUGGGGUAAGGGCUUCUUGCUAUCCCACUUCUGAUGACGAAGGAGAAAUCUACGUGGUGUUUUGAAAAAGUGUGACGUCAUCAUUGCUGACGUCACAGUUGUUGUUCUCACGAUGGUCACCCAUUUUGGGGCUUAGAAAAACU